rnacentral:rRNA from 1 species
UACGGAGGGUGCAAGCGUUAUCCGGAUUCACUGGGCUUAAAGGGUGCGUAGGUGGCUUUGUAAGUCAGUGGUGAAAUACCGGAGCUCAACUCCGGAACUGCCAUUGAUACUGCUUAGCUUGAAUCAGGUCGAGGUGGAUGGAAUAUUACAUGUAGCGGUGAAAUGCUUAGAUAUGUAAUAGAACACCGAUUGCGAAGGCAGUUCACUAGGCCUGAAUUGACACUGAGGCACGAAAGCGUGGGGAGCAAACAGG